GAUGAACGCUAGCGGAAGGCAUAAUACAUGCAAGUCGAACGGAUGUAGCAAUACAUUAGUGGCGCACGGGUGCGUAACGCGUAUGCAACCUACCUUCAUCAGGGGGAUAACUACCCGAAAGGGUGGCUAACACCGCAUAAUACUACUGAAUGGCAUCAUUUGGUAUUUAAAUCUGAGGAGGAUGAAGAUGGGCAUGCGUCUGAUUAGCUAGUUGGCGUGGUAACGGCGCACCAAGGCGACGAUCAGUAGGGGAACUGAGAGGUUGGUCCCCCACACUGGCACUGAGAUACGGGCCAGACUCCUACGGGAGGCAGCAGUAGGGAAUAUUGGUCAAUGGUGGGAACACUGAACCAGCCAUUCCGCGUGCAGGAAGAAGGGUCUCUGACUUGUAAACUGCUUUAGCAAGGGAAGAAAAAGCUCAUGCGUGAGAAAUUGACGGUACCUUGAGAAUAAGCACCGGCUAACUACGUGCCAGCCGCCGCUGUAAGAC
rnacentral:rRNA from 1 species